UGCCCAGCAACUCCUAUCCCUACCUCCACGCGGUACCGGCCGGAAACUACGAGCAACCUUAGGGAAGAUCGGGUAACCAACCCCGGUGGGACCUUUGGUCGUAGGCUGACAGGGAAGG
rnacentral:ribozyme from 1 species